GGAUCCGUAACUCAGUUGGCUAGAGUGACGGGCUUUUAACCCGCUAGUCGGGGGUUCAAAUCCCUCCGGAUCCG
rnacentral:tRNA from 1 species